rnacentral:sRNA from 1 species
CUGGGAUAUGGUGAUAUGAUUCCAAAAACGGUGGUUGGAAAAAUAAUGGCGUCAUUUUGUUCCCUUCUCGGUUUGUUGUUGUUUUCCUUGGUUAUUCCUGUAAUGGCGACUACU